rnacentral:rRNA from 1 species
UAACGCGUGGGUAACCUGCCCUUUUGUGGGGAACAACUUCGAGAAAUCGGAGCUAAUACCGCAUAAUAAUAGAGGAUCGCAUGAUUCUUUAAGGAAAGAUGGCCUCUGANGAUGCUAUCGCAAAAGGAUGGACCCGCGUCUGAUUAGCUAGUUGGAAGGGUAACGGCCUACCAAGGCAACGAUCAGUAGCCGGCCUGAGAGGGUGAACGGCCACAUUGGGACUGAGACACGGCCCAAACUCCUACGGGAGGCAGCAGUGGGGAAUCUUCCGCAAUGGGCGAAAGCCUGACGGAGCAAUGCCGCGUGAGUGAAGAAGGCCUUCGGGUUGUAAAACUCUGUCCUUAUCGAAGAGAGGUAGGUAUGUGAAUAAUGUACCUAUAGGACGGUAGAUAAGGAGGAAGCCCCGGCUAACUACGUGCCAGCAGCCGCGGUAAUACGUAGGGGGCGAGCGUUGUCCGGAAUCACUGGGCGUAAAGGGCGCGUAGGCGGUUUAAUAAGUCAGUGGUGAAAACUGAGGGCUCAACCCUCAGCCUGCCACUGAUACUGUUAGACUUGAGUAUGGAAGAGGAGAAUGGAAUUCCUAGUGUAGCGGUGAAAUGCGUAGAUAUUAGGAGGAACACCAGUGGCGAAGGCGAUUCUCUGGGCCAAGACUGACGCUGAGGCGCGAAAGCGUGGGGGAGCAAACAGGAUUAGAUACCCUGGUAGU